rnacentral:rRNA from 1 species
GACGAACGCUGGCGGCGUGCUUAACACAUGCAAGUCGAACGGUAAGGCCCCAGCUUGCUGGGCUACACGAUGGGCGAACGGGGGAGUAACACGUGGGGGACCUGCCUCGCACUUGGGGACAAGCCCGGGUAACUGGGGAUAAUACCGGAUAGGAGCGCACCCUGAGGGGGAGGAGGAAAGGUUUGCGGUGUGGGUUGGGGGCGCGGCCUAUUAGCUUGGUGGUGGGGUAAUGGCGUACCGAGGCGGCGACGGGUAGCCGGCCUGGGGGGGUGGACGGCCACGCUGGGACUGGGACACGGCCCAGCCUCCUACGGGAGGCAGCAGUGGGGAGUAUUGCACAGUGGGCGGAAGCCUAGCGCGGCGACGCCGCGUGGGGGAUGACGGCCUUCGGGUUGUGAACUCCUUUCACCUUAGCCGAAGGUUUUCUGACGGUAGCUGGAGAAGAAGCCCCGGCUAACUACGUG